CCUACGGGUGGCAGCAGUGAGGAAUAUUGGUCAAUGGGCGCGAGCCUGAACCAGCCAAGUAGCGUGACGGAUGACUGCCCUACGGGUUGUAAACUUCUUUUAUAAGGGAAUAAAGUGCGCCACGUGUGGCUUUUUGUAUGUACUUUAUGAAUAAGGAUCGGCUAACUCCGUGCCAGCAGCCGCGGUAAUCCGGAGGAUCCGAGCGUUAUCCGGAUUUAUUGGGUUUAAAGGGAGCGUAGGUGGGUUGUUAAGUCAGUUGUGAAAGUUUGCGGCUCAACCGUAAAAUUGCAGUUGAAACUGGCAGUCUUGAGUACAGUAGAGGUAGGCGGAAUUCGUGGUGUAGCGGUGAAAUGCUUAGAUAUCACGAAGAACUCCGAUUGCGAAGGCAGCUUACUGGACUGCCACUGACACUGAGGCUCGAAAGUGUGGGUAUCAAACAGGAUUAGAUACCCGGGUAGUC
rnacentral:rRNA from 1 species